rnacentral:rRNA from 1 species
CCAAUAGCGUAUAUUAAAGUUGUUGCAGUUAAAAAGCUCGUAGUUGAAUUUCGGGGUUAGUAGGUCGGUCAUGCCUCAGGUAUGCACUGGUCUCACUGAUUCCUCCUUCCUGAUGAGCCGUAAUGCCAUUAAUUUGGUGUUGCGGUGAAUCUGGACUGUUACUUUGAAAAAAUUAGAGUGUUUAAAGCAGGCUAACGCUUGAAUACAUUAGCAUGGAAUAAUGGAAUAGGACGUUCGAUCCUAUUUUGUUGGUUUCUAGGAUUGACGUAAUGAUUAAUAGGGAUAGUUGGGGGCAUUAGUAUUCAAUUGUCAGAGGUGAAAUUCUUGGAUUUAUUGAAGACUAACUACUGCGAAAGCAUUUGCCAAGGAUGUUUUCAUUAAUCAAGAACGAAAGUUAGGGGAUCGAAGACGAUCAGAUACCGUCGUAGUCUUAACCAUAAACUAUGCCGACUAGGGAUCGGAUGAUGUUAAUUUUUUAAUGACUCAUUCGGCGCCUUACG